rnacentral:lncRNA from 7 species
AUGAGGUUAAUGGGGUCAGUGGGGUCAGUGGGGUCAAUAGGGUCAUAUGAGGUUAAUGGGGUCAGUGGGGUCAGUGGGGUAAAUGGGUUGUUGGGGUCAUAUGGGGUCAUGGGUAUCAUUAGGAUCUUUGGGAUCGGUGGGGUCAGUGGGGUCAUGCGGGGUCAUUGGGGUCAUUAUGGUUAAUGGGGUCAGUGGGGUCAAUAGGGUCAUAUGAGGUUAAUGGGGUCAGUGGGGUCAGUGGGGUAAAUGGGUUGUUGGGGUCAUAUGGGGUCAUGGGUAUCAUUAGGAUCUUUGGGAUCGGUGGGGUCAGUGGGGUCAUGCGGGGUCAUUGGGGUCAUUAUGGUUAAUGGGGUCAGUGGGGUCAAUAGGGUCAUAUGAGGUUAAUGGGGUCAGUGGGGUCAGUGGGGUAAAUGGGUUGUUGGGGUCAUAUGGGGUCAUGGGUAUCAUUAGGAUCUUUGGGAUCGGUGGGGUCAGUGGGGUCAUGUGGGGUCAUUGGGGUCAUUAUGGUUAGUGGGAUCAUUGGGGUCAGUGGGGUUAUCUCCAUACCAUCUCAGUGUUAUCUCU